AGAAUGAACGCUGGCGGCGUGCUUUACACAUGCAAGUCGAGCGAGGCGGGGAGCAAUCCCCAGUCGAGCGGCGAACGGGUGAGUAACGCGUGGAUAACCUACCUCGAGGUGGGGGAUAACCCGGGGAAACUCGGGCUAAUACCGCAUAUGACUGUAAGGUCAAAGGGGGCCGCAAGGCUCUCGCCAUGAGAGGGUCCGCGUACGAUUAGCUAGUUGGUAGGUAAUGGCCUACCAAGGCGACGAUCGUUGGCCGGCCUGAGAGGGUGAGUCGGACCG
rnacentral:rRNA from 1 species